AUGUUCUAUAGCCUCCUAAUCGUUUGUUCCGGACAUGGCCGGGUGUCGUGUACUUUAUUAUAUAUUUCGUUCUUUCAUGCCAGCAGGAUGUGUGCGUUUGUUUGGGUUAUUAUUCCUAUUUUGGAGGCUGUGGUGGUCGAGUGCGCUUUGCCAUCCCUUUUGCACCUGUGUGAGGUCGCAGAAGAUGGCUCUGUCCUUGCUGGGUGGAGCUUGAGCUUCCUGGGGAUGGUUCUGGUGGAGUGCCUCGGCGAGAGUUUUUUGGAGCUCGGCCUGGUGUGGGUUCAUGAAUGCUUUCCUGUAACUGAAUGCUUCUUAUUAAGCAUGCUUUAA
rnacentral:rRNA from 1 species